UGAGGAAUAUUGGUCAAUGGGCGAGAGCCUGAACCAGCCAAGUCGCGUGAAGGACUACGGCCCUAUGGGUCUUAAACUUCUUUUGUAUAGGGGUAAAGGUAUGUACGUGUACAUAAUUGCAAGUACUAUACGAAUAAGGAUCGGCUAACUCCGUGCCAGCAGCCGCGGUAAUACGGAGGAUCCGAGCGUUAUCCGGAUUUAUUGGGUUUAAAGGGAGCGUAGGCUGGAGAUUAAGCGUGUUGUGAAAUGCCGCGGCUCAACCGUGGCACUGCAGCGCGAACUGGUUUCCUUGAGUGCGCUGAAAGUGGGCGGAAUUUGUGGUGUAGCGGUGAAAUGCUUAGAUAUCACGAAGAACUCCGAUUGCGAAGGCAGCUCACUGUAUCGCGACUGGCGCUGAAGCUCGAAAGUGCGGGUAUCGAACAGGAUUAGAUACCCUGGUAGU
rnacentral:rRNA from 1 species